GUUUUCUGUCUAUAAAUGUAAACAAACAGUUGUUCCCUUGUCUAAUAAAACAUGUAAUAUAUUAAAGUGUCUUUGGUGUUUACAUGGUUUCUACAAAAUAAAACCGGAAACAGGGGGUAACGCAGAUAUGACGCUAUUGACAGGCGACUCCUGGCCACGUCCCAUAUCCUUGGUGAAAAUCGCGAUUUUCUCACGAUUUACAAAUAGUUGGAAAACAUUUGGGAUAUUGUGUUUCACAGGUCAGAAAGUGACCUCUUCUAUUUCCGCUGGCGAUGGCACAGCUGAGCCUCUGGGCUGUCUGUCUACCCGAGCACUGACCCUAGAGGAGACUGCAGAGCCCUGACAUUUCUCUGGAUGGAAUAUGAAUGGCAGGGUGCCAGGAAACUGUUCUAGAUUAUAAUACCUGCACAUGUGAGGAUUGACAAUGAAGCCUUUUGACUGAGACUUGCACUCAAAGUCCAAAUCAAUGUAUCCAUGGAUGACUUAAUUUUUUUUGUGUGUGGACUAUCCCUUUCAGAGAAAAUUCAACAUUUGGAAUCUAAGAGUUGCUCCACGCAGGGGCCAGCCAGUCAAACAGAUGAGAGAGGCUGUUCUCAUGCAUUGAGUGUACCUGGCAGACUGGCAUGUGGGACACCUCUACCGUCGCGGGUGAUUGACUGAGGAACUACAUUGACAUUUUGAAAGGAGCUUGACGGAUGAGAGGCCCAGACGGUCUUCACCUACCAUCACAAAAUAAAUUGGGCUUCCUAUCAGCUGUAACCUUUAAAGUGUGUAUUUACCUGUGUUUGUGUGUGUUUCCUUGAAAACAUCCAAUAAAAAUCAUCCAAGGUGCAUCAGGGUGUUAAACGACAGAAUCAAAAGAAAUGUGCGCAGGUCUCAUAUGCAAAACACAAAAUAUAGUGUUUCUGUAGGCAGAAUUUUGAGGCAUAGGCACACUCCUUGUUCCAAAUAGUAUGCAACUUAAUUAUGCUGCCUCCUAAGAUACCUGCUUCUGGCCAAAUUCCAAGGCAACAUUGCAUGUAUCCUUAAUAGAGAAGGCAAUAACAGAAUGCAUUGUGACAAGACAAUAAAUCAAGAUGGCCACAUAAGAGAAAUGUUGAUUAUAAGUAUGUGACACAAUUCAGUAAGUUGGUCCUAAUAUAUUUUUCAACAUCUAGUAGAGGAAGAGAUGAUAAUUUCUUAUGUGUGACAUGCUAAUGUUUGAAUCAGUAUACUGUACGGUCAUAAUUCAUGUCAUAAUUUUGAUGUUUAACCUCAUAAUUAUGACUUAGUAUUAUGACUUUUUUUUCUUAUGUGUCAAAAGUGAUUCUGUGUUCUCAAGCCAACAGUACACUUUGACAAAAGUUCUCGAAUCAAGAGUCGAUUCCAACAAAAGCUUGUAACAGUUCUCCAGUUACCAGUACGCUAAACUGAGAACAGGACAGAGAUGUCCACAUUGCCAAACAUUUUAAUAAAACCUGCAAAAAACAUUCAGUCAAGACGUGCAGCCUAAAUGAAUUUAAAAAAUGAACCACUAGAUAAUGGAACUUUCUUGGUAUCAUGCUUCACAUCGAAUUAAGCCUUAUGAAACGCCCUGCACAUUGGUGUAUAUCACCUCCUCAUAGAAUGCAGUGUGUGUUAUAUUAAUCAGAGUAUACCUGUAAAUGGACAAAAACUGCCAGACCCAUUCUAACCACGCUCGCAGACAAAGGACCAUAAAACCUC